GACGAACGCUGGCGGCGUGGAUUAGGCAUGCAAGUCGAACGGUAUCAUCCUUUCGGGGAUGAGAGAGUGGCGAACGGGUGAGUAACACGUAGGUGAUCUACCCUCAAGACGGGGACAACCCAGGGAAACUUGGGCUAAUACCGGAUGUGAGCUAUCGUGAGAUAGUUUGAAAGGUGGCUUCGGCUGCCGCUUGAGGAUGAGCCUGCGUCCUAUUAGCUAGUUGGUGAGGUAACGGCUCACCGAGGCAGUGAUAGGUAGGCGGCCUUAACGGGUGGUCGCCCACACUGGGAUUGAGAUACGGCCCAGACUCCUACGGGAGGCAGCAGUCGAGAAUAGUCUACAAUGGUCGGAAGACUGAUAGUGCGACGCCGCGUGAACGAUGAAUCCCUUCGGGGUGUAAAGUUCUUUUAUAUGUGAGCAGUGCUUCUUAUAUUAACAGUAUGGGGAGAGAGAUAUUAGCAUAUGAAUAAGCAACGGCUAACUCCGUGCC
rnacentral:rRNA from 1 species